UACCCAAUCCUGACACAGGGAGGUAGUGACAAUAAAUAACAAUACCGGGCUUUUUCAAGUCUGGUACUUGGAAUGAGAACAAUCUAAACCCCUUACCGAGGAUCCAUUGGAGGGCAAGUCUGGUGCCAGCAGCCGCGGUAAUUCCAGCUCCAAUAGCGUAUAUUUAAGUUGUUGCAGUUAAAAAGCUCGUAGUUGGAUUUUGGGUCGGAGCGCCCGGUCCGCAGUUUCUGUGAGUACUGGUCGCUCCUUCCUUCUUGCCGGGGACGCGCUCCUGGGCUUCACUGUCUGGGACGUGAAAUCGGCGAUGUUACUUUGAAAAAAUUAGAGUGUUCAAAGCAAGCCAUCGCUCUGAAUACAUUAGCAUGGAAUAACACCAUAGGACUCUGGUCUUAUUUUGUUGGUUUUCGAGAUUGGAGUAAUGAUUAAUAGGGACAGUCGGGGGCAUCCGUAUUUCAUUGUCAGAGGUGAAAUUCUUGGAUUUAUGAAAGACGAACUUCUGCGAAAGCAUUUGCCAAGGAUGUUUUCAUUGAUCAAGAACGAAAGUUGGGGGCUCGAAGAUGAUCAGAUACCAUCCUAGUCUCAACCAUAAACGAUGCCGACUAGGGAUUAGUGGAUGUUAAUUUGAUGACUUCACUAGCACCUUAUGAGAAAUCAAAGUUUUUGGGUUCCGGGGGGAGUAUGGUCGCAAGGCUGAAACUUAAAGGAAUUGACGGAAGGGCACCACCAGGAGUGGAGCCUGCGGCUUAAUUUGACUCAACACGGGGAAACUU
rnacentral:rRNA from 1 species